GAUGAACGCUAGCUACAGGCUUAACACAUGCAAGUCGAGGGGCAGCAUUUUAGUUUGCUUGCAAACUAAAGAUGGCGACCGGCGCACGGGUGAGUAACACGUAUCCAACCUGCCGAUAACUCGGGGAUAGCCCUUCGAAAGAAAGAUUAAUAUCCGAUAGUAUAUUAAAACCGCAUGGUUUUACUAUUAAAGAAUUUCGGUUAUCGAUGGGGAUGCGUUCCAUUAGUUUGUUGGCGGGGUAACGGCCCACCAAGACUACGAUGGAUAGGGGUUCUGAGAGGAAGGUCCCCCACAUUGGAACUGAGACACGGUCCAAACUCCUACGGGAGGCAGCAGUGAGGAAUAUUGGUCAAUGGACGAGAGUCUGAACCAGCCAAGUAGCGUGAAGGAUGACUGCCCUAUGGGUUGUAAACUUCUUUUAUAUGGGAAUAAAGUUUUCCACGUGUGGAAUUUUGUAUGUACCAUAUGAAUAAGGAUCGGCUAACUCCGUGCCAGCAGCCGCGGUAAUACGGAGGAUCCGAGCGUUAUCCGGAUUUAUUGGGUUUAAAGGGAGCGUAGGUGGAUUGUUAAGUCAGUUGUGAAAGUUUGCGGCUCAACCGUAAAAUUGCAGUUGAAACUGGCAGUCUUGAGUACAGUAGAGGUGGGCGGAAUUCGUGGUGUAGCGGUGAAAUGCUUAGAUAUCACGAAGAACUCCGAUUGCGAAGGCAGCUCACUAGACUGCAACUGACACUGAUGCUCGAAAGUGUGGGUAUCAAACAGGAUUAGAUACCCUGGUAGUCCACACAGUAAACGAUGAAUACUCGCUGUUUGCGAUAUACAGCAAGCGGCCAAGCGAAAGCAUUAAGUAUUCCACCUGGGGAGUACGCCGGCAACGGUGAAACUCAAAGGAAUUGACGGGGGCCCGCACAAGCGGAGGAACAUGUGGUUUAAUUCGAUGAUACGCGAGGAACCUUACCCGGGCUUAAAUUGCAUUUGAAUAAUCUGGAAACAGGUUAGCCGCAAGGCAAAUGUGAAGGUGCUGCAUGGUUGUCGUCAGCUCGUGCCGUGAGGUGUCGGCUUAAGUGCCAUAACGAGCGCAACCCUUAUCUUUAGUUACUAACAGGUCAUGCUGAGGACUCUAGAGAGACUGCCGUCGUAAGAUGUGAGGAAGGUGGGGAUGACGUCAAAUCAGCACGGCCCUUACGUCCGGGGCUACACACGUGUUACAAUGGGGGGUACAGAAGGCAGCUACCUGGCGACAGGAUGCUAAUCCCAAAAACCUCUCUCAGUUCGGAUCGAAGUCUGCAACCCGACUUCGUGAAGCUGGAUUCGCUAGUAAUCGCGCAUCAGCCAUGGCGCGGUGAAUACGUUCCCGGGCCUUGUACACACCGCCCGUCAAGCCAUGAAAGCCGGGGGUACCUGAAGUACGUAACCGCAAGGAGCGUCCUAGGGUAAAACUGGUAAUUGGGGCU
rnacentral:rRNA from 1 species